rnacentral:snoRNA from 1 species
CCCAGCUGCAGGCAACUGCCUAUGUUGCAUUUUACCUAGGCAAGUGUUACAUGGCUGGGAGAAAAGCAGUUAAUAGCUGGCAGCCAUCCUGGGCUUGGUUAAUGCCAAAUCUGUGUUAAGUCUACCAGUGUGCUGGCAUA